rnacentral:rRNA from 1 species
AUAAUAAUUUGUUUUUUAAUUAAAAACUAGAAUGAAAGAUUUAAUGAGAUAAAAACUGUUUCAAAUAAAUUUAUUAAAUUUAUUAUUUAAGUAAAAAAACUUAAAUUUUUUAUAAAGACGAUAAGACCCUAUAGAAUUUUAUUUAUUUAAUAAAAAAAAUUUUUUGAAUGAAUUUAAUUGGGGUAAUAAAAAAAUUAAAUAAAUUUUUUUUAAAUUUUAACAUAAAUUAAUGAAUUUAAUAAAUUAAAAUAUAUCUUAAUUUUUAGAUUAAAAAAAUUAAUUACCUUAGGGAUAACAGCAUAAUUUUUUUUAAGAGUUCUUAUCAAUAAAAAAGAUUAUGACCUCGAUGUUGAAUUAAGAUAAAAUUUAAAUGCAAAAAUUUAAAAAUUU